rnacentral:rRNA from 1 species
GCCGCAAUAUAUUAAUUGUGCAAAGGUAGCAUAAUCAUUUGUUUUUUAAUUGGAAACUUGUAUGAAUGGUCGAAUAAAAAGUAAACUUUAUUACUAAUAAAUAUUAUAAUUUUAUUUUUAUGUUAAAAAGCAUAAAUUAUUUUAUGGGACGAUAAGACCCUAUAGAAUUUUAUAUAAUUAUAUUAAUAUUAUAUUUGUUAUUUUAUAUAUUAUGUUGAAAUUAUAUUUUGUUGGGGCGACAAUUAAUUAUUUAUAACAUUAUUUUAUUUAUCAUUGAUUUUUGAUUAUUUAGAUCCUAAUAUUUUAGAUUAUAAGUUUAAAUUACCUUAGGGAUAACAGCGUAAUUUAUUUUUAGAGUUCUUAUCAAUAAAUAAGUUUGCGACCUCGAUGUUGGAUUAAA